ACUCCUACGGGAGGCAGCAGUAGGGAAUCUUCCACAAUGGGCGAAAGCCUGAUGGAGCAACGCCGCGUGAGUUGAAGAAGGUUUUUCGGAUCGUAAAACUCUGUUGUAAGGGAAGAACAAGUACAGUAGUAACUGGCUGUACCUUGACGGUACCUUAUUAGAAAGCCACGGCUAACUACGUGCCAGCAGCCGCGGUAAUACGUAGGUGGCAAGCGUUGUCCGGAAUUAUUGGGCGUAAAGCGCGCGCAGGCGGUCCUUUAAGUCUGAUGUGAAAGCCCACGGCUCAACCGUGGAGGGUCAUUGGAAACUGGGGGACUUGAGUGCAGAAGAGGAAAGUGGAAUUCCAAGUGUAGCGGUGAAAUGCGUAGAGAUUUGGAGGAACACCAGUGGCGAAGGCGACUUUCUGGUCUGUAACUGACGCUGAGGCGCGAAAGCGUGGGGAGCAAACAGGAUUAGAUACCCUGGUAGUCCACGCCGUAAACGAUGAGUGCUAAGUGUUAGGGGGUUUCCGCCCCUUAGUGCUGCAGCUAACGCAUUAAGCACUCCGCCUGGGGAGUACGGUCGCAAGACUGAAACUCAAAGGAAUUGACGG
rnacentral:rRNA from 1 species